rnacentral:rRNA from 1 species
GUCGAGAAUCUUCCGCAAUGCGCGAAAGCGUGACGGAGCGACACCGCGUGAUGGAUGAAGUCCUUCGGGGCGUAAACAUCUUUUAUAAAGGAGGAAAUUUUUGACGUUACUUUAUGAAUAAGGGGCUCCCAAUCUCGUGCCAGCAGGCGCGGUAAUACGAGAGCCUCAAGCGUUAUCCGGAAUCAUUGGGCGUAAAGGGUGCGUAGGUGGUUUGAUUAGUCUCCCGUUAAAACUUCGAGCUUAACUAGAAAAGAGCGGGGGAAACGGUCAAACUAGAGUAUGUGAGAGGUGUGUGGAACUCAUGGUGUAGGGGUGAAAUCCGUUGAGAUCAUGGGGAGGACCAAGAGCGAAGGCAGCACACGGGUACGUCACUGACACUGAGGCACGAAACCUAAGGUAGCGAAUGGGAUUAGAUACCCCGGUAGUCC